rnacentral:rRNA from 1 species
GCAACGCCGCGUGAGGGAUGACGGCCUUCGGGUUGUAAACCUCUUUCAGCAGGGACGAAGCGAGAGUGACGGUACCUGCAGAAGAAGGACCGGCCAACUACGUGCCAGCAGCCGCGGUAAUACGUAGGGUCCGAGCGUUGUCCGGAAUUAUUGGGCGUAAAGGGCUCGUAGGCGGUUUGUCGCGUCGGGAGUGAAAACUCAGGGCUCAACCCUGAGCGUGCUUUCGAUACGGGCAGACUAGAGGUAUGCAGGGGAGAACGGAAUUCCUGGUGUAGCGGUGGAAUGCGCAGAUAUCAGGAGGAACACCGGUGGCGAAGGCGGUUCUCUGGGCAUUACCUGACGCUGAGGAGCGAAAGCAUGGGGAGCGAACAGGAUUAGAUACCCUGGUAGUCCAUGCCGUAAACGUUGGGCGCUAGGUGUGGGGACCUUCCACGGUUUCCGUGCCGCAGCUAACGCAUUAAGCGCCCCGCCUGGGGAGUACGGCCGCAAGGCUAAAACUCAAAGGAAUUGACGGGGGCCCGCACAAGCGGCGGAGCAUGCUGAUUAAUUCGAUGCAACGCGAAGAACCUUACCUGGGUUUGACAUAUACCGGAAAGCUGCAGAGAUGUGGCCCCCUUUUGGUCGG